UUCCUUUCCAGUUUUCGUGGUCCGGUCCUCUAAUCAACCCUACCCGAAGCUAAGAAGGAGGAAAGACCCGCCAUUCUCACUCAUGAAACUCAGUGUAUGUAGUUUGUCUCUUUCCCUAACUUCACCUAGAAAGAUUUGCAAUUUAGUUGGGAGCCAUUCUUGCAUGGAAACCCAUAAAAUGCAUACUCAUACCCGUAAGCCAGAACCUUCGCUUGUCUCAUUGGAUACUCUGCUUGAUUACUCGAAAUUAAAUACAGAGUCAAAUGCCGAUGAACUGUUCGAUGAAACGCCCAAAUUGGAUGUCGUAUCAGCAACAACUGCAAUCGGACGGUUUGUUAGGCAGCACCGAUACAAAGAAGCUAUACAUUUCUUCUCGAGAAUGCUUUUUUUGAAUAUUAGGCCCAAUGAAUUCACUUUUGGGACUGUAAUUCCCUUGUCAACUGCACUAGAAGACCUUUGUUUGGGGAAGCAAUUUCAUGCUUGUGCAAUGAAGACGGGCGUUAACGGUAUUGUCUUCGUGGGCAGUGCAAUUCUAGAUUUCUAUGCCAAGUUGAGUUCAAUUGAGGAAGCUCGGAAAGCUUUCGAGGACAUCCAAGAGCCUAAUGUGGUCUCUUGCACGACUUUGAUACAUGGGUAUUUGAAGCAAGGUAGGAUUGAGGAUGCUCUUCUGCAUUUCCGAGAGAUGCCCGAGAGAAAUGUGGUAUCAUGGAAUGUGAUGAUUGGCGGAUGUAGCCAAAUGGGCCAAAAUGAAGAGGCUGUAAAUCUCUUUGUUGAGAUGCUGAGACAAGGUUUGAUGCCUGGCCCAUCUACAUUUCCUUCUGCCAUUAGUGCAGUUUCAAAUAUAGCAGCACUUGGGAUGGGCAAAAGUUUUCAUGCUUGCGUCGUUAAGUCCUCGUGUAACUUUGAUGUGUUCGUUGGCAAUUCUUUAAUAAGCUGUUAUGCAAAGUGUGGAAGCAUGGAGGAUAGCCUUUUGGUUUUCAAUAAACUUCCUGAUAGAAAUAUUGUAUCUUGGAAUGCUUUGAUAUGUGGCUUUGCACAGAAUGGAAGGGGAGAGGAUGCUUUAAUCUUCUUUGAGAGGAUGAGAGCUACAGGCAUGAGACCUAAUAGUGUUACACUUCUUGGUCUUUUAUGGGCUUGCAAUCAUGCUGGUCUUGUUGACAAGGGUUCUUUGUACUUCAAUCAAAUUAGGGUUGAGGACCCCAACAUGUUAACACCUGAACACUAUGCUUGUAUGGUUGAUUUACUCUCUCGGUUUGGUCGUUUGAAAGAAGCUGAGGGGCUUCUUCAUGUUUUGCCUUUUGAUCCAGGAAUUGGGUUUUGGAAAGCAUUACUUGGAGGCUGCCACCUCCACUCAAAUGUGGAAUUGGGUGAGUUAGCAGCACAGAAGAUCCUGGCUUUGGAUCCUGAAGAUGUGUCAUCAUAUGUAAUGCUGUCAAAUGCUUAUUCUGCUACUGGCAGAUGGCAGAAUGUGUCAAGAAUAAGAAAAGAAAUGAAGGAGAAGGGAUUGAAGAGGGUUCCAGGUUGUAGUUGGAUUGAAAUUAGAAGCAAAGUUCAUGUCUUUGUCAACAGUGAUAGGAGUCAUUACCAAAAGGAUGACAUUUACAGAGUCUUGAAGUUUUGCACUGAACAGUUAAGAGAUAAUGAAGUGCCAGACUGUUAAUGGAGCUUUAAAAGGCAGUUCAUAAAGUUUCGCAAGUUGUGGAAGAGGUGAGUUUGCACAACUACAUUCAAGAUCAUCGCAACUCAAGGUAUGGAAGAGGUGAGUUUGCACAAUUGCAUUCAAGAUCGUUGCAAUGUAAUUGUACUUUAUGACUUCAUAACAUUACUAUAUAUUUGAUUUUUGAUAAGAUUAUUAUAUAUUUGAUGAAAAAAGAAAAAGAGGAAUAAAAAAACUACCUACUAAAAUUUUGUAAAUUCCUUCAUGCGGACUAUUCUGUUUUGCUUGGAUUUCAUCAUCAAGGACAAUCAGGUCAUUGUCUGCACAUUCUCCUACCUAAUUAAGUGGGUGACAUUUCCUAGAAUGAAAUGAGUUGUAUUUAGUACUCCUUUGUUUCUUUGGAAAAUAAUUCCUGAGCAUUCUUCCUUUAUUAUUUGUGGAUACUUUAGUGACAUAUUUUCUAUAUAAGCUUCCUGAAAAAAAUUUUAACCUGGAAACAAUUUUUUUUUUUCUUUUCCAGAAAUGUCUAUGGUCAAACUAAAAAUGGCAAUAGGAGGCAGGUCAUAAACCAAUUUAACAUUAUAGUACCUUAAUCUUGGGUCAUUGCAGAAACCAUCCCUGCCACAGAUCAAUUCAUUCCUCCUCCAAGGGAUUUCAUCAAGCUAUACUUUGAUGCAGCUUGUGAUGCAAAGAACAAUGAAGGUUCGACAGCUGCUUUUGCUACCGAGGUCUUCCAUGUGGAUGGUCUUGCAGGAAGUUUUCGGCCAUUUUGGAACCUCUUAUUCUAGAAAGUCUGGCAUGCGGGGAAGCUAUCUCCUGACCAAUUCAAAAGGCUUUACGAAGGUUGUUUUAGAAGGGGAUUCCCUUUCAAUUAUCCAAGCUCUUCGAGGAGGAAUUAAGCCCCUAGCAAUUCAGGGAGUGCUGCAGGAUAUCAUCACUCUUACCUGAAUCUUUUGAUCAGCUAUCCUUCUUCUUUGUAAAAAGAAAUGGUAACCAAGCUGCUCAUAGCAUAGCUUCCUUAGCUCUUCGGGAUAUGUCUUUCUAUUGUAAUCCUCUCAUGCAGCUUCAUUUUGUAACUCUUUGAUGCCCUGUUAGUCCUCAAUUCCUUGUUGUGCAAGGCCGCAGAAAGGGCAUUGAACUUCUGAACUUCAACAUUUUCAACACGUACCAUUUCUAGUUGUUAA
rnacentral:misc_RNA from 1 species